ACGGAAGGCAGCAGCUAAGAAUAUUCCGCAAUGGAGGAAACUCUGACGGAGCGACGCCGCGUGGAUGAUGAAGGCCGUGAGGUUGUAAAAUCCUUUUGAAACCGAGGAAUAAACAUUGUAGGUAAUGACAGUGUGGUGACUGUAAGUUUUGAAUAAGCACCGGCUAAUUACGUGCCAGCAGCCGCGGUAACACGUAAGGUGCGAGCGUUGUUCGGAAUCAUUGGGCGUAAAGGGCAUGUAGGCGGAAGUGCAAGUCGGAUGUGAAAUUUCAGGGCUCAACCCUGAAGCUGCGUCCGAAACUGCAUAACUAGAAUCACUGAGGGGGAACCGGAAUUCCAGGUGUAGGGGUGAAAUCUGUAGAUAUCUGGAAGAACACCAAUGGCGAAGGCAGGUUUCCAGCAGAUGAUUGACGCUGAGGUGCGAAGGUGCGGGGAGCAAACAGGAUUAGAUACCCUGGUA
rnacentral:rRNA from 1 species